rnacentral:rRNA from 1 species
UACGGAAGGGUGCGAAGCGUGUUCGGAAUCAUUGGGCGUAAGCGCGCGCAGGCGGAUCAGCAAGUCAGAUGUGAAAUCUCGAAGCUCAACUUCGAAACUGCGUCUGAAACUGCUAGUGCUAGAAGUGUCGGAGGGGGCAGGGGAAUUUCACGUGUACGGGGUAAAAUCCGUAGAGAUGUGAAGGAACACCCGGAGGCGAAGGCGGCC